UACGUAGGCAGCAAGCGUUGUUCGGAGUUACUGGGCGUAAAGGGUGUGUAGGCGGUUGCUUAAGUUUGGUGUGAAAUCUCCCGGCUCAACUGGGAGGGUGCGCCGAAUACUGAGUGACUAGAGUGCGGGAGAGGAAAGUGGAAUUCCUGGUGUAGCGGUGAAAUGCGUAGAUAUCAGGAGGAACAUCGGUGGUGUAGAGGCUUUCUGGACCGUAACUGACGCUGAGACACGAAAGCGUGGGUAGCAAACAGG
rnacentral:rRNA from 1 species